UUCAUUUUAAUCUGAAAACAGUUAUUCAAAUUUAUAGAAUAUGAUUUUAUGUGAAGUUCAUUAGAACAAAAGAUAUAAACAUAAUUCAUAGAAAUCUCAUUUUUAAAGGCCAUAUAUAUGUGGGAAAAUAUUUUAAAAACAUCUUCAGUGAUGGUUAAAUGGGUAAUAUCAGCUCUUUCUGGUUAUUCAAAUUAGCUGCUUCGAAUAAAGUCCAUGUGGGGGAGAAUAGACAGCUGCGUGAUUCUAACGAUCAGAAUUAGAAUUUACAAUUAAUGAACCACAAAGUAUGGAUGCCUUGUUAAAAGGUUUUGGUUGUUUUUUAGUUUAUGGUCUAAAUGAAAUCUGGGAUGGACUAGAUCGGUUUUCACUUAAUUCUUACAUAUAGUAAACCGGAACAGGAGAAUGGGUUUGUUUCUGCUACUAAAAUAACUUCAAAUUUUUUUCUUUUUAAAAUAAAAUAAGUAUUGUGCAAAUUGACAUAUAUGCAUCUGCUUUCUGUUAGUUUUGUCUUACAAAUUAGAACCUGGUAAUUGUAUUGAAGGUAAAUUGUUCUUGUUUUAUUUCAGCAGAAGACAUAGCACCAGAGAAGAAAAUCAGAAACCGGUCCAAAGCCAGUCUCAGCUUCAAUCAGAAGGACAGGAUGUCCCCACUCAACCACAAGCUUGUACAGAUCGGUUGAGGUACAAAAAGCAGGGGAGAGAGUACAUGGAGAGGCUGAAUUCAGUUUAUGGUCAACUCUGAGCUGAGCAGAAGACAUAGCACCAGAGAAGAAAAUCAGAAACCGGUCCAAAGCCAGUCUCAGCUUCAAUCAGAAGGACAGGAUGUCCCCACUCAACCACAAGCUUGUACAGAUCGGUUGAGGUACAAAAAGCAGGGGAGAGAGUACAUGGAGAGGCUGAAUUCAGUUUAUGGUCAACUCUGAGCUGAAGUGCCUUUAAUUCACUUUAAGCAAGAGAACCAGUUUGAAGGACAUUAGUUGCUUUUUUGUAUCAAAGUAGAUGCUUUAUGAUAUCAAUAAAAUUUAUUCACAAAUCA